rnacentral:rRNA from 1 species
UUAUGCUAAUAAGAGCGUAUGGUGGAUGCCUUGGCACUAAGAGCCGAUGAAAGACGUGAUAAGCUGCGAAAAGCUUCGGGGAGGAGCAAAUAUCCUGAGAUCCGGAGAUAUCUGAAUGGGGAAACCUACUUGAGAAGACCUCAAGUAUCCACAGCCCAAUCCAUAAGCUGUGGAAGGGAACCCGGUGAACUGAAACAUCUAAGUAGCCGGAGGAAGAGAAAACAACAUGUGAUUCCGUAAGUAGCGGCGAGCGAACGCGGAAGAGCCCAAACCGGAGUGCGUGCACUCCGGGGUUCGGACUGCAGGAUUGACGAGUGAGCCUAGUAGAAUGGUUUUGGGAAAGCCAGCCAGAGAGGGUGAAAGCCCCGUACACGAAAGGCAAGCGAGCAUGGCAGGAUCCAGAGUACCACGAGACACGUGAAACCUUGUGGGAAUGAGCGGGGACCACCCCGUAAGGCUAAAUACUCCUUAGUGACCGAUAGCGCAUAGUACUGUGAAGGAAAGGUGAAAAGGACCCCGGGAGGGGAGUGAAAGAGAACCUGAAACCAUAUGUUUACAAGCUGUGGAACAUCUUUAUAUGAUGAACCGCGUACUUUUUGUAGAACGGUCCGGCGAGUUACGCUGGCUGGCGAGGUUAAGGGCUGAAGGCCUGGAGCCGAAGGGAAACCAAGUCUGAACAGGGCGAAAUAGUCAGUCGGAGUAGACCCGAAACCGGGUGAUCUAUCCAUGUCCAGGUUGAAGUUGCCGUAAAAGGCAAUGGAGGACCGAACCCACAUCCGUUGAAAAGGGUGGGGAUGAGGUGUGGAUAGGGGAGAAAUUCCAAUCGAACCCGGAGAUAGCUGGUUCUCCUCGAAAUAGCUUUAGGGCUAGCCUCAUGCAAGUCUUACGGAGGUAGAGCACUGAAUUCCUAAGGGGGCGUCAAAGCUUACCAAGGGAUAUCAAACUCCGAAUGCCGUGUAGAUGGUGCAUGGGAGUCAGACUAUCCGAGAUAAGUUGGGUAGUCAAAAGGGAAAGAGCCCAGACCUACAGCUAAGGUCCCAAAAUGUGUGUUAAGUGGAAAAGGAUGUGGGAUUUCGAAGACAACUAGGAUGUUGGCUUAGAAGCAGCCAUCCAUUAAAAGAGUGCGUAAUAGCUCACUAGUCGAGAGGUCCUGCGCCGAAAAUGUCCGGGGCUGAAACACACUACCGAAGCUUGGGAAUUGACGAAUGUUAAUUGGUAGAGGAGCAUUCUUAACGGGGCGAAGCUGUACCGGAAGGAGCAGUGGACUGUUAAGAAGAGAGAAUGCCGGAAUGAGUAGCGAGAGGAAGGUGAGAAUCCUUCCGGCCGAAUAUCUAAGGUUUCCAGAGUAAAGCUGAUCUGCUCUGGGUAAGUCGGGGCCUAAGGCGAGGUCGAAAGACGUAGUCGAUGGAUAACAGGUAAAGAUUCCUGUACUGUAUCAUAACAGAACUGUGGGGACGCAGACAGAGAGCAUAAGCCGGGAAUGGAAAGACCGGUACAAGCGAGGUAGGAGUGCAUCAGGCAAAUCCGGUGCACAAUCUGAAGACGUGAUGUGGGGCGUAAAGCCGGAAGUAUGUGAGCUGGCUGCCAAGAAAAGCCGCUAUUGUUUAUGAUAUACCCGUACCGUAAACCGACACAGGUGGAUGAGGAGAGAAUCCUAAGGCCGACGGGAGAAGCAUUGUUAAGGAACUCGGCAAAAUGACUCCGUAACUUCGGGAGAAGGAGUGCCAUGUAAAAGUGGCCGCAGAGAAUUGGCCCAAGCAACUGUUUAGCAAAAACACAGGUCUAUGCAAAACCGAAAGGUGAGGUAUAUGGGCUGACGCCUGCCCGGUGCUGGAAGGUUAAGGGGAGAGGUUAGCCGUAAGGCGAAGCUUUGAACUUAAGCCCCAGUAAACGGCGGCCGUAACUAUAACGGUCCUAAGGUAGCGAAAUUCCUUGUC